GAUGAACGCUGGCGGCGUGCCUAAUACAUGCAAGUCGAGCGAACAGACGAGGAGCUUGCUCCUCUGACGUUAGCGGCGGACGGGGGAGUAACACGGGGAUAACCUACCUAUAAGACUGGGAUAACGUCGGGAAACCGGAGCUAAUACCGGAUAAUAUAUUGAACCGCAUGGUUCAAUAGUGAAAGACGGUUUUGCUGUCACUUAUAGAUGGAUCCGCGCCGCAUUAGCUAGUUGGUAAGGUAACGGCUUACCAAGGCAACGAUGCGUAGCCGACCUGAGAGGGUGAUCGGCCACACUGGAACUGAGACACGGUCCAGACUCCUACGGGAGGCAGCAGUAGGGAAUCUUCCGCAAUGGGCGAAAGCCUGACGGAGCAACGCCGCGUGAGUGAUGAAGGUCUUCGGAUCGUAAAACUCUGUUAUUAGGGAAGAACAAAUGUGUAAGUAACUAUGCACGUCUUGACGGUACCUAAUCAGAAAGCCACGGCUAACUACGUG
rnacentral:rRNA from 1 species